rnacentral:rRNA from 1 species
AAAUUGAAGAGUUUGAUCAUGGCUCAGAUUGAACGCUGGCGGCAGGCCUAACACAUGCAAGUCGAACGGUAACAGGAAACAGCUUGCUGUUUCGCUGACGAGUGGCGGACGGGUGAGUAAUGUCUGGGAAACUGCCCGAUGGAGGGGGAUAACUACUGGAAACGGUAGCUAAUAC